rnacentral:lncRNA from 1 species
CAGGCUGUUCUUCCCUCCUUGGUGGCUCUGGUUGCGGUAGUGCCCUUAGCCGAUCUUCCUUACCUUCAGGCUAGUGUCAGAUGAAUCUAUUGAGCCAACCUCAUCUAAUGAGCUCCUCGAUCUGGUCUCAGAGUUGAAUACACCCCUCUGUGUUGUGGCUGUGGUCACGAUGAUAGAGGCAGAACUUGUUAAGGUUGUGCUUCCCAAGGUGUGUGCGCAUCCUUUCCGACCUUGGCAGCUACUCCCUGAUCUCCAUCAGCACUUGAGUUUUUGGAGCAUUGAGAGGGGCGUAGCUGUGGAAUCUUUCUGGGGG